rnacentral:rRNA from 1 species
UACGGGGGGGGCAAGCGUUGUUCGGAAUUACUGGGCGUAAAGGGCUCGUAGGCGGCCAACUAAGUCAGACGUGAAAUCCCUCGGCUUAACCGGGGAACUGCGUCCGAUACUGGAUGGCUUGGAUUUGGGAGAGGGAUGCGGAAUUCCAGGUGUAGCGGUGAAAUGCGUAGAUAUCUGGAGGAACACCGGUGGCGAAGGCGGCAUCCUGGACCAAUAUUGACGCUGAGGAGCGAAAGCCAGGGGAGCAAACGGG